CUCGGAAACCCCAGCGAUCGAUUUCCGAAGGCCGGGCCGAGCGAGCGCGUGUCCUGCAGUCUCGGGCCGCACCUCCAUCCCCAUGGCUUCGCAAGGCGUGGACCCGAGAGGGCUGGGAGAUGACGAGCUGCACUGCCUCCUCAGAGAGCUAGACGAAGUGAUCAGAGACUUCGAUAACGGCAGCAGCUGUCAGUAUGAGGAACAUCUGGAGGAGCUCAAGCAGAAGAGUGGCCUCGGCCUCGGCGUCUAUGACAGUGGGAUCGAUGAGGCUGAGAGUACCAGCCCAUCUCCAGGGAGCAGCUUAAACACCAGUGAGGAAAACAUUCACAUGCCAGCAACUUCUUCUGUUCCCAAAGAAAUGUGAGACGCAGCCCUUGGUUGCCCGGUAGAGGUCCUCAAGAUGGAUCGCUGUAGAUGUGCCUGCCUGCAUACACCCCACAUGUUUGCUUUCUUCGUGGCCCUCCUCAGAAGGCCGGAGGGCAAAACCUCAGGGCCAGA
rnacentral:lncRNA from 1 species